GACCAUACUUAACCCGACCGGCCGACCAACUUUCUCUCCCUCUCGCCCUUGUCUCGUUUCGCAGAAGAACCGAGGUACCCCGCCUCGGAUUCGCCGGGAACGGAGGCGCCAUCUCCGGCGCCGGCGAGAUAAGUCCUCGACUCCGUCACAAUCCGCCAAUCUCCGGGAACGUGACCGCGUCAAAUCGGAACACCGUCGCGCUCUGGACGCCGCUGCUUCGCCUUUGCUCGUCGCCCUGCUUCCAUAGUUCGUUACAGGCUGAGCCACUUCGUCACGAGCUUCAUCAACACCUGUAGAUCAAGAAUCCCGAAGGAAUCGACGCGAGGUGGACCACAGUGGGAGAUCCUCUUCUUCUUCUCCAAUCCCAGCCGCCGACGCCAUUCCUUUCUUUCUCCUUCUCUGUAGAAGCCUGGGGAUACGCCGUCGACGACGACCGUAGCAGCCGCGCCGUCGCCGAACCAGUACACCGUCGCCAAGACUUCGCUGAGCUGCGUUUGCUUCUUGACGAUUCGCAGCCGAGUCUCGAGGAGGCCUACUUUGUAGCUGAGCAAGGAGUGGAAGAGCAAGG